ensembl:lncRNA
GGCAGGGCCAACCCACAGGAACUCAGGUGCAUGAGUGCACCUGCAUGACCAGAAGGGAUGGAGCCAGGAUCCACUCCUUCCCAGACCUCACUUAAGUGUUGGCAGGGGAGGUAAGAGUAUCUUGUUGGAGAUGCCUGUGUAUCUGAGGUCUUCUGAAGGUGCCUCCCAGGUUAUCUUUGAUCUUGCUGAUAAAACUGUCCUAACAUUAGAGCUGAAAUCUCACCUUGCACGUAAAGGACCUCGUGCACACGCAGUGUCUUUUCUGGCUUAUCAAAGACAGUUUUAAAAAGAGAAAUGUUAAGGAAACUUUACUGAAUGAGAUCUCCAGUGUCAGAACCCCCAGAUACUAUGUGAGAUGACAGGCAAAAAGGUGGAGACAGGGCAGACGCCUGUAUUCUCCUGUGCUGCCUGACAGGUGUCUGUCUGUCCCAGAUUCGUGCUCCAGAGCUGGCCUAACUAUUCUGCUCUGUGUUCUCAGUAUCCUGUCAGUGUGGGGGCCUCAGUGCUCUGACUCCAGUGCUACUAAAAUCAGAUGACAUCUUCCUGAGCCACAGUAAUAUGGUGAAGCCAGGGGAUAAAUGGAGUCAGUUCAUGGGUGGUGAACCAUCUGGCAAGCAGUGAACCUGGGAAAGGCAGAGCAUAUGCUCUAGGCAAAAUCAAAUGUCUUUUCAGAUAUAAUAGCUUCUCUGUAGAUAUCUUGUCUGAAAAAGAACAACUUUGUUUUUUGGUUUUGUUCAUGAUUUAGGAAAUUCUCCUUAUUUUUUCACUGGUGUAUGUACCUUUGUAAAGUUCUGUACAUGUAUGAAGAUAGAAAAGUAGUUAUGACUUCAUUUUUUGUGGCAACUCUAUGAUAUACCAUCAGUAAUGAUGAAUUAUGUUUCAGAUAUCAACAACGUUCAAACCAAUUUAGGACUUUGUAUCUCUUUUCAUUAAUACAGUGGGUGUUUCAGAUGCCAUAACCAAAAUAUCUAAAAUAUUUCUGAGAGCUUUUUUAUGAAGUUCACGGCACAUAACUUUGCUCCUUAGGUAUAAUUGUACAAUAUAAUAUGGUAUAAUGCAGCCACUAUAAAGAUAAUAAUUGGACAGGUGGAAUUUUCCUAAUAACGUGAUCUGAGUCUGUGAAAUCGGGUCAAGUAAAUCAUAGGUAUUUCCAACAUCAAUUAAAAAUGUGUUUAAUCUUGAUUUUUCUGUAAUAUAAGCCAGUCAAAUGUGCUCUUACAGACCUAUUUCUUUAACAUAAUUGUCCUUGACAAACAGUCAACCAGGGAUGAUAAGGAAUUUCCCUGUCUCAGAUCCCAGGCUUCAUUGUUCCUCUUCUUCCUGGCUUUCAUGCCAUAUGUUACUUUGUAUCAAAUGGUGUAAUGAUUACAUAAUACAUUUUGGAAAAACAGCUCUGUUGCAUCUAUUCUUUAUUCUCUCAUCUCCCUUUCUCUCUUUGUCAUUACUGAAAAAUAAACUCUAUGGGCAAUCCUCUUUUUGCAG